rnacentral:rRNA from 1 species
GACGAACGCUGGCGGCGUGCCUAAUACAUGCAAGUCGAACGCUGAAGAGAGGAGCUUGCUCUUCUUGGAUGAGUUGCGAACGGGUGAGUAACGCGUAGGUAACCUGCCUUGUAGCGGGGGAUCACUAUUGGAAACGAUAGCUAAUACCGCAUAACAUUGGGUGACACAUGUCAUUUAUUUGAAAGGCGCCAUUGCUCCACUACAUGAUGGACUUGCGUUUUAUUAGCUAGUAGGUGAGGUAAUGGCUCACCUAGGCGACGAUACAUAGCCGACCUGAGAGGGUGAUCGGCCACACUGGGACUGAGACACGGCCCAGACUCCCACGGGAGGCAGCAAGAGGGAAACUUCGGGAAUGGGGGCAAACCUGACCGAGAAACGCCGCGGGAGGGAAGAAGGUUGUCGGGUCGUAAAGCUCGGUUGUAAGGGAAGAAAGGGAGUGAGAGUGGAAAGUUCACACUGUGACGGUAGCUUAUCAGAAAGGGACGGCUAACUACGUG